AGAGUUUGAUCCUGGCUCAGGAUGAACGCUGGCGGCGUGCCUAAUACAUGCAAGUCGAACGCUUCACUUCGGUGAAGAGUGGCGAACGGGUGAGUAAUACAUAAGUAACCUGGCAUCUACAGGGGGAUAACUGAUGGAAACGUCAGCUAAGACCGCAUAGGUGUAGAGAUCGCAUGAACUCUAUAUGAAAAGUGCUACGGGACUGGUAGAUGAUGGACUUAUGGCGCAUUAGCUGGUUGGUAGGGUAACGGCCUACCAAGGCGACGAUGCGUAGCCGACCUGAGAGGGUGACCGGCCACACUGGGACUGAGACACGGCCCAGACUCCUACGGGAGGCAGCAGUAGGGAAUCUUCGGCAAUGGGGGCAACCCUGACCGAGCAACGCCGCGUGAGUGAAGAAGGUUUUCGGAUCGUAAAGCUCUGUUGUAAGUCAAGAACGAGUGUGAGAGUGGAAAGUUCACACUGUGACGGUAGCUUACCAGAAAGGGACGGCUAACUACGUGCCAGCAGCCGCGGUAAUACGUAGGUCCCGAGCGUUGUCCGGAUUUAUUGGGCGUAAAGCGAGCGCAGGCGGUUUGAUAAGUCUGAAGUUAAAGGCUGUGGCUCAACCAUAGUUCGCUUUGGAAACUGUCAAACUUGAGUGCAGAAGGGGAGAGUGGAAUUCCAUGUGUAGCGGUGAAAUGCGUAGAUAUAUGGAGGAACACCGGUGGCGAAAGCGGCUCUCUGGUCUGUAACUGACGCUGAGGCUCGAAAGCGUGGGGAGCGAACAGGAUUAGAUACCCUGGUAGUCCACGCCGUAAACGGUGGAUGCUGGAUGUGGGGCCCGUUCCACGGGUUCCGUGUCGGAGCUAACGCGUUAAGCAUCCCGCCUGGGGAGUACGGCCGCAAGGCUAAAACUCAAAGAAAUUGACGGGGGCCCGCACAAGCGGCGGAGCAUGCGGAUUAAUUCGAUGCAACGCGAAGAACCUUACCUGGGCUUGACAUGUUCCCGACGGUCGUAGAGAUACGGCUUCCCUUCGGGGCGGGUUCACAGGUGGUGCAUGGUCGUCGUCAGCUCGUGUCGUGAGAUGUUGGGUUAAGUCCCGCAACGAGCGCAACCCUCGCCCCGUGUUGCCAGCGGAUUAUGCCGGGAACUCACGGGGGACCGCCGGGGUUAACUCGGAGGAAGGUGGGGAUGACGUCAAAUCAUCAUGCCCCUUACGUCCAGGGCUUCACGCAUGCUACAAUGGCCGGUACAACGGGAUGCGACGCGGCGACGCGGAGCGGAUCCCUGAAAACCGGUCUCAGUUCGGAUCGCAGUCUGCAACUCGACUGCGUGAAGGCGGAGUCGCUAGUAAUCGCGAAUCAGCAACGUCGCGGUGAAUGCGUUCCCGGGCCUUGUACACACCGCCCGUCAAGUCAUGAAAGUGGGCAGCACCCGAAGCCGGUGGCCUAACCCCUUGUGGGAUGGAGCCGUCUAAGGUGAGGCUCGUGAUUGGGACUAAGUCGUAACAAGGUAGCCGUACCGGAAGGUGCGGCUG
rnacentral:rRNA from 1 species